rnacentral:misc_RNA from 1 species
GGUUUGAUCCUGUCAGAUUGAACGCUGGCGGGAUGCUGCUACAUAAGUCGAACGGCAGCACGGACUUCGGUCUGGUGGCGGCGAUGGCGAACGGGUGAGUAAUGUAUCGGAACGUGCCUAGUAGCGGGGAUAACUGCACUUGAAAGCGUAGCUAAUACCGCAUACGCCCUUCGGGGGAAAGCAGGGGACCUUCGGGCCUCGCACUAUUGCGGCCGAUAUCGGAUUAGCUAGUUGGUGGGGUAACGGCUCACCAAGGCGACGAUCCGUAGCUGGUUUGAGGACGACCAGCCACACUGGGACUGGAGACCUGGCCCAGACUCCUGCAGGAGGCAGCGGUGAAAAUUUUGGACAAUGGGGAAACCCUGAUCCAGCCAUCCCGCGUGUGUGCGAUGA